rnacentral:pre_miRNA from 1 species
AUAACAUUCGGACCGUCGGUAUACCGAGCAAUUUGACCCGCUCAUUAGAAGAUCUUCCUUUUGACCG